rnacentral:rRNA from 1 species
CCUACGGGAGGCAGCAGUGGGGAAUAUUGCACAAUGGGCGCAAGCCUGAUGCAGCAACGCCGCGUGAAGGAAGACGGUUUUCGGAUUGUAAACUUCUGUUCUUAGUGAAGAAUAAUGACGGUAGCUAAGGAGCAAGCCACGGCUAACUACGUGCCAGCAGCCGCGGUAAUACGUAGGUGGCAAGCGUUGUCCGGAAUUACUGGGUGUAAAGGGAGCGCAGGCGGGUGAUCAAGUCAGCUGUGAAAACUACGGGCUUAACCCGUAGACUGCAGUUGAAACUGUUCAUCUUGAGUGAAGUAGAGGUUGGCGGAAUUCCGAGUGUAGCGGUGAAAUGCGUAGAUAUUCGGAGGAACACCGGUGGCGAAGGCGGCCAACUGGGCUUUAACUGACGCUGAGGCUCGAAAGUGUGGGGAGCAAACAGGAU